rnacentral:lncRNA from 1 species
AAUUAAUUGGUAAUUUUAAAGGGAAGAAGCUUUACAUUUAGAUAUGUAAAAUAAAAUAUGUAAUUAUGGUUAAUAUUAUUUAGUAUACAUUUAAGUAUUGUUAGAUAUAAAAUAAAGCAACCGGUUAAAACAAUUCCUUCCAAUUAUGUCAGUAUGGAAGGGGGUUGGAACCCCCCUUUUUUUUUGGACGAUCAAUGCAUUUGAAUGGGAGCAUAUAGUUGGAACCCCCCCUUUACUCUGGGCUGGGAACCCCCCCUUUUUGAAAUGGCUGGAUCCGCCACUGGUUCUCUAUGUACUUGUGAUGCUGUAGUGAUAGUUAGAUUUGACAUCAAAUUUAGCAAAUGGCCAAAAUGAGUGUGAAUUUAGGGUAGAACAAAGGCAGAACAUUAAUUUUUUUUAUGCUUUUUGAACAUUUGUAUGUGAAUAGUAGGUUAUUUAAUAUAUCUGUGAUCAAAUAUCAUUUGAACAAAUGUGUGAUUUACUUUAAGUUUUGCGGUCAUUUUUACAUCUGUUGCCAAAAGUUAUGAUGUUGUAUUUAUAUAUUUUAUUAUUUUUAUCUUGUGUGUGACUGUUAUGAAGUUUGCCUGAAUGUGAUUUUCUAAUGUAUAAUUACAUAUCGUUACAUUUUAAUUUACAAAUAUAUGAUGAACAACUAUUAUAUUAGAAUUCUUCCAAACCAUAUCACUUUAUUAAUUAAAUUGAUUUUGAAGAUUAUUAAUAAUAAUUUACAAACUGUUUUAUUGGUAGGUAGCCACUGUACUACAAAGUGACAAAAAUUAUUAGGAUUUGAUCUAUUGUGUAGCUAUAGUUUGAUAAAUAAGUUAACAAUUAAAGAAACUGAUAUGUUGGUAAAAUAAUUCUCUUAAAAACAGGGUCGAUAAGAAAACCAUAUAACACUAAUAUUUAUUAAUUGACAAAACCUCUGAUAGACAAAUGAUACUUAUUCUCAGGAGGAAUUCUUUUUGUGGACUGGGCACCUCACCUUGAAUAUUGAAAUUCUUUUUAGAUCUUGAAUGUCUCUAGUUUGAAGAAUGCAUAAAGGUUAAGAUAUUUUGUUUUAAAUGUCUUUCAUUGCUGUGUGUGCAUAAAAAUCAGAUAGAAAUAUUGUAAGAAUGAACAAAGAUUUUCUUAUGCCAUUUAUAUUAAAGUAUUAAAUAAUAUAUACUAACUGGAAUAGCUUUCAACCCACUAUGGUAGCAUUGAAAAAAACUCUCUAAGUUUGAAGAGCACAAAAUUUUUCAUCCCAAAUAGUUCUUUCAAAGAAGUGAAAUAUGGUGGUUAAAAUUUUAUGCAGCAUGAUAGAUUUAUUAGGAAAGACUUACAAUGUGUGAAGUGAACAAAUAGGAGAAUAAAUUAAGUAAAUUAAAUUAUAUCUAGUAUCAACAUACAAAUAUGACAUAAUAACUGAAUUUUUAAAAGAAUUUUCUAUGAAUGCAAACAAAAGACUUGUAAGGAGUUUCAACUUUUCCCCAUCUGGUGCAAAAAAUCAAAUGUUACAUAAUCAUCCCAAUGUUAGAAAGAGCUAUCAAGGCAAAUGUAAAUAUACUUCCCCUUAAAACAAAACCCAGUUGUAUCAUUCAGACCAAAAUAAUUAUAUUGAAUAUUGUUUACUAAGAUAUUUUUAACAUACAGAAUAAAUGUAUUACAUAUUGUUUCAGUUUAGGAGUGUGAGCGACGUCUUCAUUUGAGAGCAGUAUUUAGUCAUUACCCACCAAUAUAUUUCAUUGCAUUAUUUUUUUUCGACAUCUAAUAUGCUUAAUGACACCUCAUGAAAUUGCUUCUGACAUGAGUAAAAAAAUGUGUUCUAUUCAAACUUUGUCCUAAGAAUCAUGGUGUAACAAUCACAAACUUGUGUUUUUUGGUUGCUGUUUCAUUUAUAUAUUUCUUAAUGUCUUCUUUAGAUAAUAUUUACAAAAACAAGUUAAAUUGUAUACAUUUGUAGCUUUGCUACAGUGAAAAAGACUGAAACAAGACUUAAAUAAAUCUUGCUAAUUUACCCUUUUUCAAUUAUUCUGAUAUUAACAUGAACUGUAUAAAUCUUGCCAAUUUAGCAAUGUUUCUAGUUAUGAGUCUAACAAAAACUAGAUACUUUUUGCUAAACAUUUGUUUUAUAAUGAGUUAACAAGAACUAGAUGAAUGUUGCUAUACAAGCUUUAUCCAAAUCUUCAUACUGCAACAGUCUGUGUACGAUUACAGAAUUGUGCUUAACAUGAUAAUGUAAAGAUCACAGGCAUACUGUUUACUUAUUGUUGUGUCAGCAUAUAUAUAGGGUACACAUGGUCUACAUGGUAUCCAAGCUCUGUCUUUUAUUUUAAAACAGUAAUUUCAUGAACCAAAGGUGUGUAUAUUGUUAAGAUUGUGCUCAAUUUUGUUUUACCAAAUUACAUGUGAAGUGCAUUAAGACACACCCAGUGUCAUAGUGUUGCGCAGGAGCAUUCUUCACUUUAUAUCUUGGUGAUUUGAGACGCAUUUGAAUGAAUCAGUGAAAAUAUACUUUCUGUUGGUAGUGUAUGUAACAUAUCAGUGCAGGCAAUGACUAUUUUUUUUGUUUGUUAAUUGUUAUUUGUUUAUUUAUGUAGCAUAUUCUUCAUAUAUAUAAUUAUUAUUUUAUAAAAAUUUACUUACUUCCUGUGUUAUUUAAUUAAGUUUUAAAUUGUUUUAGAUUUUUAGGGUAUUGUCAUAUUUACACU